rnacentral:rRNA from 1 species
UACGGGGGGGGCAAGCGUUGUUCGGAAUUACUGGGCGUAAAGGGCCAGUAGGCGGCCAACUAAGUCCGACGUGAAAUCCCCAGGCUUAACCUGGGAACUGCGUCGGAUACUGGAUGGCUUGAAUUCGGGAGAGGGAUGUGGAAUUCCAGGUGUAGCGGUGAAAUGCGUAGAUAUCUGGAGGAACACCGGUGGCGAAGGCGACAUCCUGGACCGGUAUUGACGCUGAGGCGCGAAAGCCAGGGGAGCAAACGGG